rnacentral:rRNA from 1 species
GGGCUCACACAAGCGGUGGAGCAUGUGGCUUAAUUCGAGGCAACGCGAAGAACCUUAUCCUGGAUUUGACAUGCUUGGAUGGCUCGCCUGAAAGGGAUGAGUCUGCCUUCGGGUGAAACUUGCACAGGUGCUGCAUGGCUGUCGUCAGCUCGUGUCGUGAGAUGUAGGGUUAAGUCCUUAAACGAGCGCAACCCUUAUCCUUAGUUGCCAGCGGGUCAUGCCGGGGACUCUAGGAGACUGCCGGUGUUAAAACCGGAGGAAAGGUGGGACGACGUCAAAGUCAUCAUGGCCUUUAUGUCCAGGGGCUGCACACGUGCUACAAAUGGGCGUACAAAAGGGAAGCGAACCCCGCGAGGGCAAAGCA